rnacentral:rRNA from 1 species
UUAAGCGACUAAGCGUACACGGUGGAUGCCCUGGCAGUCAGAGGCGAUGAAGGACGUGCUAAUCUGCGAUAAGCGUCGGUAAGGUGAUAUGAACCGUUAUAACCGGCGAUUUCCGAAUGGGGAAACCCAGUGUGUUUCGACACACUAUCAUUAACUGAAUCCAUAGGUUAAUGAGGCGAACCGGGGGAACUGAAACAUCUAAGUACCCCGAGGAAAAGAAAUCAACCGAGAUUCCCCCAGUAGCGGCGAGCGAACGGGGAGGAGCCCAGAGCCUGAAUCAGUGUGUGUGUUAGUGGAAGCGUCUGGAAAGGCGCGCGAUACAGGGUGACAGCCCCGUACACAAAAAUGCACAUGCUGUGAGCUCGAUGAGUAGGGCGGGACACGUGGUAUCCUGUCUGAAUAUGGGGGGACCAUCCUCCAAGGCUAAAUACUCCUGACUGACCGAUAGUGAACCAGUACCGUGAGGGAAAGGCGAAAAGAACCCCGGCGAGGGGAGUGAAAAAGAACCUGAAACCGUGUACGUACAAGCAGUGGGAGCACGCUUAGGCGUGUGACUGCGUACCUUUUGUAUAAUGGGUCAGCGACUUAUAUUCUGUAGCAAGGUUAACCGAAUAGGGGAGCCGAAGGGAAACCGAGUCUUAACUGGGCGUUAAGUUGCAGGGUAUAGACCCGAAACCCGGUGAUCUAGCCAUGGGCAGGUUGAAGGUUGGGUAACACUAACUGGAGGACCGAACCGACUAAUGUUGAAAAAUUAGCGGAUGACUUGUGGCUGGGGGUGAAAGGCCAAUCAAACCGGGAGAUAGCUGGUUCUCCCCGAAAGCUAUUUAGGUAGCGCCUCGUGAACUCAUCUCCGGGGGUAGAGCACUGUUUCGGCAAGGGGGUCAUCCCGACUUACCAACCCGAUGCAAACUGCGAAUACCGGAGAAUGUUAUCACGGGAGACACACGGCGGGUGCUAACGUCCGUCGUGAAGAGGGAAACAACCCAGACCGCCAGCUAAGGUCCCAAAGUCAUGGUUAAGUGGGAAACGAUGUGGGAAGGCCCAGACAGCCAGGAUGUUGGCUUAGAAGCAGCCAUCAUUUAAAGAAAGCGUAAUAGCUCACUGGUCGAGUCGGCCUGCGCGGAAGAUGUAACGGGGCUAAACCAUGCACCGAAGCUGCGGCAGCGACGCUUAUGCGUUGUUGGGUAGGGGAGCGUUCUGUAAGCCUGUGAAGGUGUACUGUGAGGUAUGCUGGAGGUAUCAGAAGUGCGAAUGCUGACAUAAGUAACGAUAAAGCGGGUGAAAAGCCCGCUCGCCGGAAGACCAAGGGUUCCUGUCCAACGUUAAUCGGGGCAGGGUGAGUCGACCCCUAAGGCGAGGCCGAAAGGCGUAGUCGAUGGGAAACAGGUUAAUAUUCCUGUACUUGGUGUUACUGCGAAGGGGGGACGGAGAAGGCUAUGUUGGCCGGGCGACGGUUGUCCCGGUUUAAGCGUGUAGGCUGGUUUUCCAGGCAAAUCCGGAAAAUCAAGGCUGAGGCGUGAUGACGAGGCACUACGGUGCUGAAGCAACAAAUGCCCUGCUUCCAGGAAAAGCCUCUAAGCAUCAGGUAACAUCAAAUCGUACCCCAAACCGACACAGGUGGUCAGGUAGAGAAUACCAAGGCGCUUGAGAGAACUCGGGUGAAGGAACUAGGCAAAAUGGUGCCGUAACUUCGGGAGAAGGCACGCUGAUAUGUAGGUGAAGUCCCUUGCGGAUGGAGCUGAAAUCAGUCGAAGAUACCAGCUGGCUGCAACUGUUUAUUAAAAACACAGCACUGUGCAAACACGAAAGUGGACGUAUACGGUGUGACGCCUGCCCGGUGCCGGAAGGUUAAUUGAUGGGGUCAGCGCAAGCGAAGCUCUUGAUCGAAGCCCCGGUAAACGGCGGCCGUAACUAUAACGGUCCUAAGGUAGCGAAAUUCCUUGUCGGGUAAGUUCCGACCUGCACGAAUGGCGUAAUGAUGGCCAGGCUGUCUCCACCCGAGACUCAGUGAAAUUGAACUCGCUGUGAAGAUGCAGUGUACCCGCGGCAAGACGGAAAGACCCCGUGAACCUUUACUAUAGCUUGACACUGAACAUUGAGCCUUGAUGUGUAGGAUAGGUGGGAGGCUUUGAAGUGUGGACGCCAGUCUGCAUGGAGCCGACCUUGAAAUACCACCCUUUAAUGUUUGAUGUUCUAACGUUGACCCGUAAUCCGGGUUGCGGACAGUGUCUGGUGGGUAGUUUGACUGGGGCGGUCUCCUCCUAAAGAGUAACGGAGGAGCACGAAGGUUGGCUAAUCCUGGUCGGACAUCAGGAGGUUAGUGCAAUGGCAUAAGCCAGCUUGACUGCGAGCGUGACGGCGCGAGCAGGUGCGAAAGCAGGUCAUAGUGAUCCGGUGGUUCUGAAUGGAAGGGCCAUCGCUCAACGGAUAAAAGGUACUCCGGGGAUAACAGGCUGAUACCGCCCAAGAGUUCAUAUCGACGGCGGUGUUUGGCACCUCGAUGUCGGCUCAUCACAUCCUGGGGCUGAAGUAGGUCCCAAGGGUAUGGCUGUUCGCCAUUUAAAGUGGUACGCGAGCUGGGUUUAGAACGUCGUGAGACAGUUCGGUCCCUAUCUGCCGUGGGCGCUGGAGAACUGAGGGGGGCUGCUCCUAGUACGAGAGGACCGGAGUGGACGCAUCACUGGUGUUCGGGUUGUCAUGCCAAUGGCACUGCCCGGUAGCUAAAUGCGGAAGAGAUAAGUGCUGAAAGCAUCUAAGCACGAAACUUGCCCCGAGAUGAGUUCUCCCUGACCCUUUAAGGGUCCUGAAGGAACGUUGAAGACGACGACGUUGAUAGGCCGGGUGUGUAAGCGCAGCGAUGCGUUGAGCUAACCGGUACUAAUGAACCGUGAGGCUUAACCUU